rnacentral:tRNA from 1 species
UCCGGGGUAGUUCAGCGUGAGAACACUCGGCCUGGACCGAGAAGUCGCUGGUUCGAAUCCAGCCCUCGGAU